AAUUGUCAUAUUUCGUGGCCACACCGUAUUAAAAAAUAACCACUAUGUCACACUAAAUCAGAUUCAUUAGUAAAUAUUUUAAUUCCUUCCCAAGUUCAGCACUUUUUCAGUCAUUGCUUGCUCUUUAUUAUUAUUUAUAGUCAUUAUUGCCCUUACUUGAUGAUCCAGUUAAGAGGAAGGAUCAUUUCUAAGCAGGGUGCUAAUAUUUCCUCAUAGUUCAUUUCCACAUCUUAACACUACUUAAACGUAUCUACUGAUCUGUGGCACGAUUACUUUUUCAGGGUUAUUUUAAGACAAAAGAUUUUAAAAUGGCUCACUUCUGACAGAUCUCAUGAAUGACAUCAAAAAAUGUCCAGAAAAGGCUGCGGUGAGCAGAAAAGCAUCUCAGAAUGCCCAACCCAUUGAACCUUGGAGCAGAUGGACAACAACAGCAUGUAGUUACACUCCUGUCGAAUCUGAGGCUACAAUGGGCACAGACUGACCAAAACUGGACACAAUAAUAUGGUCUCCUGGUAUAUGAGUAUAUUCAAGAUAUUUUCACUUGAUGAGAUAUUUUAAGAAUUAAAACAGGCAGGAGUGGUUAAGUUUGUGACAAGAUAAAAAAAAAACAACAACAUUCAGAAACAUCAAGAUAACUGGCCUAACUAUAGAGUUAUAAAUAUACUAAUUACACAUGUGCUCUAGAGUUAAUCUCAGUGGAUAUGACUGCUGUGAAUUUUUUUUUUCUACUAUGUCUAAACAUAAUACUCCUAUCCCUGCCCUUUCUUCUAAUUUCCACUUAGUGUUAAUAACAAUGUUUCAGUAAAUGAGGCUAAAUGGGCAACUUUUUUCUAUAUAUAAUUUAGACACCUGGCAAUCAGGUUAGUGGUGACUCACCAGACAAGGAUAUUUUAAUACCAUUACCAAAGAUACACCACAAAGGGAAAGACGCUUCAUGAUGAUUUCAUUUUCUGUAAACAUUAGCCACUUCUGUCUAACAAAGUCCACAUGUCAGUCCAUACAUGGUACUGAACUCUACACCACACACAAGUACGUGUCAGCAUGAUAUUUCUCCACUUCCUAUGUGUCACUUGCCAUGUAUUUCAUUAUAAACGACUCUUUAACUUGGACAAUAAGUAAAUAAGUUUUAAAAGAGAAAAUCCAUCCUGAACGACUUGCAUAUUACAUUUUACAAUUAACGUGCUCUUCAGUGGCAUGAAACAUUUAUUUUAUUUGACUUUUGUAGUUUAAACGUGACAUGAUUAAACUGAAUUUAGACUGGAUUUACACAAUUUAACCAGUUCAAAAGUUUACAUACGCUUGAUUAUUAAUACUGUGUGUCGUUACCUGGAUAAUCAAAAAUUGUGUUUAUGUUUUGUGAGAGUUCUUCAUGAGUUCCUUGUUUGUCCUGAGCAGUUAAUCUGCCCACUGUUCUUCAGAAAAAUCCUCCAGGUCCUGCACAUUCACUGCUUUUCCAGCAUCUUCUGCAUAUUUGACCCCUUUCCAGCAGUGGCUAUAUGAUGGUGAGAUCCGUCUUUUCACAUUGAGGACAACUGAACACAACUAUUACAAAAGGUGCAAACAUUCACUGAUGAUCAAGAAGGCAACACGAUACAUUAAGAUCAGGGGGGUGUAAACUUUUGAACAGGAUAAUCAGUGUAAAUUGUUUUGUCUUCUGUGGAAACAUGUAGAUAUCUUAUGUAGCUUCUGAAGGAAUGAAAACUAGUGAAAGUGAAACUAAAUGGAAAAAAAAGAUCUUUAAACAAAAUAAUAACAAAUUACACCAAUCAUUCUGUUCAAAAGUUUACCCCCCCGCCCUCCCCGACUCUUAAUAUAUCAUGCUUGUUUUCAACAGUGAAAUCUGACAGCUAUCCCUUGCAUUUGUUUCUUCUAUUAAACGACAACGUAACUGCUCUAGC